GCCUGUUUAGCUCAGAGGUCAGAGCACCGCA
rnacentral:tRNA from 1 species